rfam:Streptomyces katrae strain NRRL ISP-5550 contig50.2, whole genome shotgun sequence.
AGAUGAGUGAGACAGACCGCUCCCGGGCAACCGGGGGCGAAACCGGUACAGGGCUUCCCCAGCGCCGUACUGGGCAUGCGUUCGCGCACACUCCUCUCCGAUCGGA